CUUCCCCAAAUCCCCGUUUCCAGUAUUUGUCUCAAUUUAAGUUCUUGUUCCAUCGAUUCCAUUGGGUUUCCAACCUGCAGUAGUUCAAAAAAAGGGGUUCUUUUUCGAUUCCAUUGGGUUUCCAGUAUUUGUCUCAAUUAGCAUUUUUGGCUCCCUAGUGUCUAUUUCAUACUGGGUUCUCUUUAUAUCCAAUCAGAAUUUGUCUGCAUGCUGGAUGUUAUCGGCUGUGGCGGUAGUGUUUUGAUCGAUGCAUAGGGAAAUUAAUUAUUGGAUGAGGAAAAGAAAUAAUUGCACUGGUUGAUGAUGGUUUGUGUGGAUAUAAAGAAGUUGAAUUUAUAGGCAAAAUUGGCACGCAUUGGGGAGGAAGGAAGGAGUCUGGGUACUGAUUUAAUUAAUUUAAAAAGAAAAAAAGUGGUAAUCAGCAUCCGUGGAUGUCAGAAGAACAUAGAAAGAAGGCAAAUUUUUAUUUGGGUGAAGAUCGGGGCUUUAUGUAAAAAUUACCUUGGGUACCAAUGUCCUUAAUUUUUUUUUUUUUUUUUUUUUUUUUAAUAUAUUUGGGGUUAGAAUUCUUGAUGCCUACUUUUGUAGACUAGAGGCUUCAGCUGUGAUACCUAUAAAACAAGAUAAACUGGAUAGCACAGAGACAGAGAAUCUGCUGAACCACCCUCUUUGUUCUUUAAGGUUAUGAAUACCUUGCUACAGCUGGUGUAAUGAAGAAAUUUCUUAUAGUCUCAUGAGGUUACUUAGUUUUUUUCAAACAUUUUGAAAGUAGACCAAGCUUGCUUAUAUUCCAAGAUUCUUGAACUACCUCACCUUUUUCUUUCACAGAGUUAUGUUGUAUCAUUUCUGCAAACAACUGCUUCCAAUAUCAUAAAGAGAUCAAUAGUAACAAACUUGUUUGUAUUA